rnacentral:tmRNA from 1 species
GGGGGUGAAAGGAUUUCGACAGGGUUGUUGAGCCUUGGUCAGCGAGUAGCGGAGUUGCACCGCUUUAAAAGUAACAACUUAAAAUUAACUGACAACAAUAAAUCAGUUGCUCUUGCUGCUUAAUUAGCAGCUUGCGUCCUGUCCCGGAGCGCCACGGCCGGGAACAGGGCGUCGACUUAGUGGCGAACUUGAAUGAUUGAGUGCCUCGGCUUUCAUCAGGUAUCAGAGGCUGCCGUAGGCUGAAGGCUGUUUGCCGCCGUCAGCUGAGGGGAUGACCCAAAUGACAAACUACACUCGUAGAACCCUUGGUAAGAUGAUUUUGGACGCGGUUUCGAUUACCGCCACCUCCACCA